CUACGGGGGGCAGCAGUGAGGAAUUUUGCGCAAUGGGGGAAACCCUGACGCAGCAACGCCGCGUGAGCGAAGAAGGCCUUCGGGUCGUAAAGCUCUGUCAAGUGGGAAAAAAAUUCUUUGAUGAACAGUCAAAGGACUUGAUGGUACCACUGGAGGAAGCACCGGCGAACUCCGUGCCAGCAGCCGCGGUAAUACGGAGGGUGCAAGCGUUGUUCGGAAUUACUGGGCGUAAAGAGCGUGUAGGCGGUUUGACAAGUCAGAUGUGAAAGCCCCGGGCUCAACCCGGGAAGUGCAUUUGAAACUGUUUCACUAGAGUAUGGGAGAGGAGAUUGGAAUUCCUGGUGUAGAGGUGAAAUUCGUAGAUAUCAGGAGGAACACCCGUGGCGAAGGCGAUUCUCUGGACCAAUACUGACGCUGAGACGCGAAAGCGUGGGGAGCAAACAGGAUUAGAUACCCGAGUAGUC
rnacentral:rRNA from 1 species